UAGUCUUGCAUGCGACAUCAACGAAGAGAGAUCGUCUUGACCGUGAGGGCUCCCAAUUUUACGGUGAAAGAAAACUACUACCCCACCCCCUCAAGUUACAGUCCACCGCUAGAGACACGACAAGAACACAGAUCGAACACAAAUGAGCCAGUUCGAACGCGUUCGAUGAAUUCCACACCAACAGCACACGUAUGAACACUGCUGGACAAAUUCGACGGCGUUCGAGGAAUUGAAUUGUAUAGGCCUCGCUACACGAACCGAAAACUCGAGGCGAAAACUCAAAAAUCAGACAUCUUUACGUCAAAAAGAUUUCGGGUCGUGUAGACGCGUUUUGUGCACCACCGAAAACACAAAGCCGCUGUCAAUUGAAGCAAGCGUUUGUUUACAAGCAGAAUCGUUUACGCGUUGUUAUCGAUUGUGUGUAAAUUUAGCCGGAUAAAAAUGGAUAAUCUUUUAAUGAGUGAAGAAUGGUUGGCUUCGCUAUCGUGGGCGGUAGAACUAAACGUGGAACAGCUAAGGGGUCGCAACUAGCGAAUUGUGCGCAGCUGGUGGAUGCGACCAAUGUUUUUCCAGCGACGUCAAGACGGCAACCGUUUGUUGGAUGAUAUUGUCGCAGAACGGACCAACGAAACAAUUAAUACCUUCAUUCGCGUAAUACCAGAAGAUUUGGAAUUUUUAUUUUUAUGGGCGAUGUCAUCACCACUCAAGAAAGAUUGAUAAUAUUGCUUCACUACAUAACUACAGGCCAUACCUUCAGUAGCUUGCAAUUUUUAUUUCAGGUGUCUCGUUCUUCGAUUAGCAGAACGUUUAGAAGAUUAGAAGAUAUGCGUUUGAAUAGUGUUUGAUGUACUAAAAAGUUCAUGUUUUAUUAUAUUUUGAUUCAUGUGUGAUUCAUGUCAUCUUACAACUCAAGUUAAACUAAUUAUUCAAUUAUUUUUUAAUUCAUUUUUCAUUUUCAUUCAAAACAAUUCAAAACAUAAACACUACCUUAAAGCUACAAUAAAAAAUCAAAGUAGUAACUAAAACAAAAUUCUAAAUAAACCCUAUCCUAUCCUAAUUCUAUACUAUAUGGUAACUAUUUACAAGACUAUCUACUAUCUAACUAACUAUUAACUUAUUAUAUACAACUAUUUACAUAACUCAUGGCUGAUCCCCAUCGCGACGGUUGGCCCGGUUGGCCAACACAAACUCCUCGGCAUCUAGCAUGGUUCGCUGAAUCCUUGAGUUCACAACACGCUAUUCCUCUGGCGUGAACCUCGUCAGGAAUUCAGCGACCCAGCGGCCAAACACAUUCUCCGAUGAGUUUGCAUUGGCCAUCGUGGCUUCCGCCACGCGUGUGAGGGCCUCGCUCAUACGAAGCCCCUCGUCACUAGUCACUAGUUCGUCGACGACGCCGUCCUUGCCGAGGAUGGGACAGGUUUUGGAUGGGAGAGGCUUGGGAAGGACGGGAGACUUGAUGAGGAAAGGAUACCUGAGAAGGGCAGGGAAGGGGAGAAUUUCGGGAUGGUGUAGGAUGACGGAUUGGUUGAUGGAGGUUGGAGGUUGAUUGGGACUAAAGAGGUUCGCUAGGAUUGAAGGAUUGGGUGGAAAAAGUGUAUGUAGGGUCGGGACUAAGGGAACAAGGUGGAUCAUACUCAAUGUAUGAGUGAUCGGCAAGGAUCCGGGAUCGUGCAACUGCCGAACCCGUUGUGACGAGGGAGUUCAGAGCAAGGCCCUCAUCUUCCUCGUCAAGCUGAAAUGAAAAAUGGGUACAAAAUUAUUAGAAAUAAUAAUGGAAAAAAAUCUUGUUUGCAAUAUAGAAAAUGUAUGUUUAUAUUAAUAAUCCUUUCAUCUACAUAAAAAUACUUUAUACACAGUAAAAUUAUGGGAUAAUCUCGCGUCUUUUUUUUAAAUUUAACAUUUAUUAUUACUAAUAAAUAGUCUAAGGUUCAUUAUGUUUACUUUACAAAGGCUUUCGUUUUAAUUGAAAUGCACGCCAAUUCAAUGUUCUUUUUUUAUUUUCAGCUACCGUCCACUAAACAACAAUGGCUGGAGGUAUCACAAAGGUUUGAGCAGGGUUGGAACUUCCCCCAUGCCAUUGGUGCGAUGGACGGAAAGCAUGUCAAAAUCCGCGCUCCUGUACACAGUGGAUCCGAUUACUACAAUUACAAAAACUUUUUUAGUAUUGUGCUUCUAGUAAUAGUGGACGCUGACUACAAUUUUCUGUUCGCGGAUGCGGGAGGAAAAGGAGGCAUUUCGGAUGGAGGAAUACUUCGAAACAGUCGAUUGUUUCAAAAACUGGAAAACAAGUUGUUGAAUAUACCUGAUCCAGAGCCUUUGCGAGUACCAUAUAGAGUUCCAGUACCGUACUUCUUGCUAGGAGACUAGGCUUUCGCCUAUACCGAUUACUGCAUCCGUCCAUUUGGUGGAAUCCAUUCACCUGGAAGUUAUCAGCGCAUUUUCAACUAUAGACAUUCCCGAGCUCGAAUCCCCGUUGAAAAUGCGCUGGGAAUUGUGACAAACAAAUUCGAAGUAUUAAGUGGGCCAAUACGUCUUCCACCGGAUGUAGCAAAACACGUUGUUUUAACGCCAUUAUAUUUACACAAUUUCUUGCGUAAAAGUGCUUCAAGGCAUAUCUACUCGCCACCAUCUUCAUUCGACAGAGUCGUUAACGGAAACUUGGUACCUGGCGAUUGGAGAGCCAAUGAAGGGUUAGCAGGUCUGCAAGGUGUUUCGUCAAGGGCACCUGAUCGAUUGUUGAAUAUUGGAACGCAUAUGGCACUAGACUUUAAACAUAAUUAUAAUCAUUAUGGUUGAACUAUUAACCAUAAUGGUCAGGUCGUUGCACAACAUGUCAAAUAAGAAUAAGCCAUUGAAAUACAACGAAUUUGUUUGAAUUGA